rnacentral:rRNA from 1 species
UACGUAGGGUGCAAGCGUUAAUCGGAAUUACUGGGCGUAAAGCGUGCGCAGGCGGCUUUGCAAGACAGAUGUGAAAUCCCCGGGCUUAACCUGGGAACUGCAUUUGUGACUGCAUGGCUGGAGUGCGGCAGAGGGGGAUGGAAUUCCGCGUGUAGCAGUGAAAUGCGUAGAUAUGCGGAGGAACACCGAUGGCGAAGGCAAUCCCCUGGGCCUGCACUGACGCUCAUGCACGAAAGCGUGGGGAGCAAACUGG